GGGAGGUUGGUCAGUGAGGAUGGGUGGGUGAAAUCCGCAACAGUCUAGCAAUCCAAAGGUUGCAUGUUUGAGUGGUGUCAGGGACAACUGUAGCAUUUUAGCUAACCCUGAUUCUAAACUUAACCCAAUUCAACUAACCUGCUACGUAAAUUCAUCUAACCAUUGUCUUUUUAGUUCUCCUAACCUUUGUCUUUAGUUUCCCUAACUGCCAAUGUAAAUUCUCCCCAUAAUUCUCUUAUGUUGUUACAGCUCAAGAAGCAACCUGGUCUCAGAUAAAGACGUGCAAUACUAUACAACAUCCAAGUCGUAUGCUGUGGCACAACCAUGUGAUGGUUUUGUGUGUUUUCUCCGCUGAUUGGGUGAAUCCAGCUGCACACAGGGAUGUAGCCUAUCGCCAGGAAGUGGCCUUCGGGGAUGUUGCUAACUCUUGCAUCAUGAAAGGCCUCCUUGGAAAUAAUUUGAACAGAAAUAGAUGUCUUCUCUGUGGUUUAUCUACGUUUUCUUCAGAACAAGGCACAAAAAGUAUACUAGUAGCAUAUAUAUGAACGACACAGACCAAGACCGGGCCAACAGUGUUGUUUAGGAUUGGCAUGGAUCCUCAGAUCUUCAAAAAGUUCUAUAGUUGCACCAUCGAGAGCAUCUUGACUGGCUGCAUCCCCGCUUGGAAUGGCAACUGCUUGGCAUUCAACCGCAAGGUACUACAGAGGGUAGUGCAUACGGCCCAGACAGUACAUCACUGAUGCUGAGCUCCCUGCUAUCCAAGACCUCUAUGCCUGGUGGUGUCAGAGGAAGGCCCAAAAAACUGUCAAAGACCCCAGCCACCCAAGACACAGACUAUUCUCUCUGCUACUGCACAGCAAGCGGUACCAAUGCACCAAGUCUGGAAGCAAACAGAACCCUGAACACAUUCUAUCCCGAAGCCAUAAGACUUUUAAACAAGACUGAUAAAUAGCUAAUCAAAUGGCUACCCGGACUACCUUCAUUGACCCUUUUUUGCACUAACUCUCUUGCACUGACUCUAUACAAACACUGGACUCUACCCACACACUCACACAUACUUACACUGACACCCCGACACACACAUACUGUACACACACUACACACGCCCACACACGCAUAACAUGCACACUGACGCCACACACACACACAAACACAACUUCACACUCACCACAUACGCUGCUGCUAGUCACUUUACCCCUACCUCUAUGUACAGGACAUACAGUGCCUUCAAAAGUAUUCACACCCCUUGACGUGUUCCGCAUUUUCUUGUGUUAAAA
rnacentral:lncRNA from 1 species